CUCCGCCACACCUAACGAGGGGCGGCCCUGCCAUCGAGGGCUGCUGCGGAGUCACCUCCAGCUACUCCAGAGACAUAAGAGUCUUGUGAAAGGCACGUAAUUACUACAGAUCACAGAAGACAUGUAGAACUGCCUGGUUUAGGUCUAUGAUAGUACAAUAAAUCAUUCAUCGUCCACUACAGUGAGGAUGAGCAAAAAUAGGGGAAACAAUUUUGAGAAAGAAGCCUUUACAGAGAAAAAUAAUCUUCAAAGGACUAACAAAAAGUGUGGCUGAUCUUCCUGAAAACGAAACACUUUCUACAACCUCCUGGAAUC
rnacentral:lncRNA from 1 species